rnacentral:rRNA from 1 species
AGCAGGUCCCAAGGGUAUGGCUGUUCGCCAUUUAAAGUGGUACGCGAGCUGGGUUUAGAACGUCGUGAGACAGUUUGGUCCCUAUCUGCCGUGGGCGUCGGAGACUUGAGAGGAUCUGCUUCUAGUACGAGAGGACCGAAGUGGACGUACCUCUGGUGUUCCAGUUAUCAUGCCAAUGGUAUUGCUGGGUAGCUAUGUACGGACGGGAUAACCGCUGAAAGCAUCUAAGCGGGAAGCCUCCCUCAAGAUUAGGUCUCCCGGGGCUUUUGCCCCCUGAAGGGCCGUUGAAGACUACAACGUUGAUAGGCUGGAUGUGGAAGUGCAGUAAUGUAUUAAGCUAACCAGUACUAAUUGCCCGUGAGGCUUGAUCAU